CCAUCCUGUUAGAAGGUAACAGAUUAUUUUAUUACAAUGGUUCAAUUGGAUUUUCAUUGUGUUCAAUGGUGUUAUUUGCCCCCUAGUGGAUGUUUCUGGUACUUAGAAAGACUACGCAAACAGGAAGGAGAGAAUUUGUUCUGCACGCAUAGAAGCAGCUACAAACAACGCUACGGUGCAGGUCUUUCAAUGUAGUUAUUUCUUGUCACGCUUCAGCCUUGGAAAAUAUUUGUUUUUUCACAACAUAAACGUUUUCAAUAUAUUCAUUCAAGAAAA